UACGGAGGGUGCAAACGUUGCUCGGAAUGACUGGGCGUAAAGGGCGCGUAGGCGGUUCAUACAGUCAGAUGUGAAAUUCCCGGGCUUAACCUGGGGGCUGCAUUUGAUACGUGUGGGCUUGAGUGAGGAAGAGGGUUGUGGAAUUCCCGGUGUAGAGGUGAAAUUCGUAGAUAUCGGGAGGAACACCGGUGGCGAAGGCGGCGAUCUGGGUAGAUACUGACGCUGAGGUGCGAAAGCGUGGGGAGCAAACAGG
rnacentral:rRNA from 1 species